AAACGUGGAGUUUCAAAGUACCUAAUUGUAAGUCAUUCCAAGAAUAUUGGAGAGUCAAGUAUCUCAACUUUAUGGUGUCAACUUAGUUUCUUUAGAUUGUUCAUCUCUAUUCCAUGCUAAUCGAAAGGGGAGCUUAUUGUGUGUCACGUGAAUAUAUACAUGUACAGAUGAAGCAAUGUGCAUAGUGAUUUCAAUAUUGAACACAUUGCUCAAAUGUUCCAAUUAAACACGCAUGAAACAUAACGUGUCGAUAUAUACCAAAACACCUCCUCCUCCUCCCCAGCCAAAUUUUUCCCGCUUGCCCUGCCCAAAUUUCCCCCCUAGCCCCGCC
rnacentral:lncRNA from 1 species